rnacentral:rRNA from 1 species
GACGAACGCUGGCGGCGUGCUUAACACAUGCAAGUCGAACGGGAUCCGGGCUUUCGGGUUUGGUGAGAGUGGCGAACGGGUGAGUAACACGUGAGUAACCUGCCCCCUUCUUUGGGAUAACGUCGGGAAAUCGGCGCUAAUACUGGAUAUUCUUGCUGCAUCGCAUGGUGUGGUUUGGAAAGGGUUUCUGGUGGGGGAUGGGCUCGCGGCCUAUCAGCUUGUUGGUGGGGUGAUGGCCUACCAAGGCUUUGACGGGUAGCCGGCCUGAGAGGGUGUCCGGCCACACUGGGACUGAGACACGGCCCAGACUCCUACGGGAGGCAGCAGUGGGGAAUAUUGCACAAUGGGCGCAAGCCUGAUGCAGCGACGCCGCGUGAGGGAUGACGGCCUUCGGGUUGUAAACCUCUUUCAGUAUGGAACACGGAUCCUUCUUUUGGGGGGUUUGAGGGUACGUGCAGAAGAAGCGCCGGCUAACUACGUG